rnacentral:tRNA from 1 species
GCUAGGUUAGCUCAGUUGGUUAGAGCGCUGGUCUGUGGAACCAGAGGUUCGCGGGUUCGAACCCCGCACCUAGUGCCA